rnacentral:rRNA from 1 species
UCAGGAUGAACGCUGGCGGCGUGCCUAACACAUCAAGUCGAACGGACGCGUCCCUCGUGGGACAAGUUAGUGGCGGACGGGUGAGUAAUGCAUGAGCAACCUGCCUCGAAGAGGGGAAUAACACAGAGAAAUUUGUGCUAAUACCGCAUAAUGUAUCCGGGGGGCAUCUUCCGGAUAAGAAAGGAGCAAUCCGCUUUGAGAUGGGCUCAUGUCUGAUUAGACAGUUGGCGGGGUAACGGCCCACCAAAUCUACGAUCAGUAGCCGGACUGAGAGGUUGAACGGCCACAUUGGGACUGAGACACGGCCCAGACUCCUACGGGAGGCAGCAGUGGGGAAUAUUGGACAAUGGGCGAAAGCCUGAUCCAGCGAACCGCCGCGUGAAGGAAGAAGGUCUUCGGAUUGUAAACUUUAGUGAGCAGGGACGAUAAUGACGGCACCUGCAUAGCAAGCCACGGCUAACUACGUGCCAGCAGCCGC